UAGGGAAUCUUCCACAAUGGACGCAAGUCUGAUGGAGCAACGCCGCGUGAGUGAAGAAGGUUUUCGGAUCGUAAAGCUCUGUUGUUGGUGAAGAAGGAUAGAGGCAGUAACUGGUCUUUAUAUGACGGUAAUCAACCAGAAAGUCACGGCUAACUACGUGCCAGCAGCCGCGGUAAUACGUAGGUGGCAAGCGUUGUCCGGAUUUAUUGGGCGUAAAGCGAGCGCAGGCGGAAUGAUAAGUCUGAUGUGAAAGCCCACGGCUCAACCGUGGAACUGCAUCGGAAACUGUCAUUCUUGAGUGCAGAAGAGGAGAGUGGAAUUCCAUGUGUAGCGGUGGAAUGCGUAGAUAUAUGGAAGAACACCAGUGGCGAAGGCGGCUCUCUGGUCUGCAACUGACGCUGAGGCUCGAAAGCAUGGGUAGCGAACAGG
rnacentral:rRNA from 1 species